rnacentral:rRNA from 1 species
AUUGAACGCUGGCGGCAUGCCUUACACAUGCAAGUCGAACGGUAACGGGUCCUUCGGGAUGCCGACGAGUGGCGAACGGGUGAGUAAUAUAUCGGAACGUGCCCAGUGGUGGGGGAUAACUGCUCGAAAGAGCAGCUAAUACCGCAUACGACCUGAGGGUGAAAGGGGGGGAUCGCAAGACCUCUCGCUAUUGGAGCGGCCGAUAUCAGAUUAGCUAGUUGGUGGGGUAAAGGCCUACCAAGGCAACGAUCUGUAGUUGGUCUGAGAGGACGACCAGCCACACUGGGACUGAGACACGGCCCAGACUCCUACGGGAGGCAGCAGUGGGGAAUUUUGGACAAUGGGCGCAAGCCUGAUCCAGCAAUGCCGCGUGCAGGAAGAAGGCCUUCGGGUUGUAAACUGCUUUUGUCAGGGAAGAAAUCUUCUGGGCUAAUACCCCGGGAGGAUGACGGUACCUGAAGAAUAAGCACCGGCUAACUACGUGCCAGCCGCCGCAGUAAGAC